rnacentral:ncRNA from 1 species
UGAAAAUCCGAGUGAGGGAGUGUAAUUUUCGUGCCGGACCGUACCCACAUCCGCAGCAGGUCUCCAAGGUGAACAGCCUCUAGUCGAUGGACCAAUGUAGGUAAGGGAAGUCGGCAAACGGAUCCGUAACCUUGGGAUAAGGAUUGGCUCUGAGGACUGAGCCGGUCGGGCUGGGGACCUGAAGCAGGAACGGCACUGCACCGGGACUGGGCGGGGCUCGCCGUUCACGCGGCGCGGCCAAGCCCGGACCAGCGUCGGGACCUUCCUGUGGAAAGCCUCAGCUGCGCGGCGUCUGAGGGCUUCGUGCCCAAAGUGCUAUGCUUCGGCCGGCAAAAAACAGUCAACUCAGAACUGGCACGGACCGGGGGAAUCCGACUGUCUAAUUAAAACAAAGCAUUGCGAUGGCCGCUGGUCGGUGGUGACGCAAUGUGAUUUCUGCCCAGUGCUCUGAAUGUCAACGUGAAGAGAUUCAUCAAAGCGCGGGUAAACGGCGGGAGUAACUAUGACUCUCUUGUCAUAGUUAAUCCUCGGCAUUUCGUUUUCGGCCGCAGGCAGGGCGCCAAUGCCUUUGGAGCGGGAGCUGGCGCUGCUGCUGGGUAGGGUGUCUAAGGCAGCUCUGAAACCCCAGCAGCGGCUAGUGAUACUCAGGACAUGCCUGGCUCCCCGUCUCUACCAUCGACUUGUCCUUGGGCCAUGGACAGCCAAAUU